ensembl:lncRNA
AUGAACUGCCUCCUCUUCAUUCAUUUAUUUUACUCUGAGUACUUAGGUAACUUGCCCAAGUUCAAGGGGAUUUUUGUCAGAAGACUCAGAAGACUUCAUGCUCUCAUCUGGCCAAGUCUGGGCUCUCUCCAUCCCAGAAGAGGUAACGAGACAGUAGGAGGCAGAGUCACAGAAACUGGGGAAGGUAUGAGAGUAAAAGAACCUGAUUUACAGCCCACAGUCCUCAGGAAGGCCUCCCCCAUCUGUGUUACUGGUUGCCCACCUUGGUUCUGCCUGGACUCUAUCAGGGAUUACCACAUGGAAUACAACAGACGGGCAGGUUCAUUGCCCUGA